GGCUCGGCCACGUGGUGCGACACGGCGCCAUGUUCAGCAUCCUCGGCACUGUCAAAGGUGAAGCCCCGCAAGUAGUUGCCACUUCAGGCGGAAGAGGCUCCACGAAGCGUGAGCUCAAGGGCCCCUUCUCGAGGGCAUUUGGCCUACUCUUCCACACUGGCCAGGCGUCUUGUGCAAGAUGACUGUGGAGGGUGUCUCGUGACGCGCGCGUUGUCUCCGCGUGAUGCACUGGAGCGCCAUAGGAGCUCGCCGCCGGGGAGAAAGAGACGAUGGUUCCCCGGCACUCGGGGCGGAAAGGGGAGGAGGGCGUCGCGCCGAGCCACGCACGGCCCGGACAUGCACCGGAGAGCCGCCAGCCGCGGAAACGUACACGGAGUGACGCUUCUCUGGAUCUGUUUCAGCAAACUGAGCCACCUGGCCAUCACAGAUGGCAGCCCAACCGAGUGGCUUCUCUUCGUGUGGAAAUCUACGGCGUCCCGAAGACUCUGACACGCGUGACGUCCGAUCGUGAAAGAAGGGGCCGACUCGGUGCUGGGAGACGCAGCGAUUGGCCGAGCGAUGGACCCCGGCGGAGAGCACCGAUCCUGGCACGGGGAGCUCUCCCACCUGCGGUGGUGGCGGCAGUGCCCGGCCUCAAGAAGCGAAGUAACAGCAUGGGCUCCCAGCUUCAUACACUACUAUGAGGGUGAACCAUUUAUCAACACGAGCUCACAGCCUUUUACAUUCAUAUAAAAAAGCACGUAAUUCUAAUUGCGGCGUUGACGUCAUUGAAAUUGGUGCCUCCGCUUAUUGUUUCACGCAACUGAUGUGACGUGGCGUGUCCGGUGUGCGACGUUCGUGGCCACGUGGCCACACGCAGGAAUGAUUUCUGCUCCGGGCCCCCUUGAGCUCGCGGCCGCUCUGCCACCGCCGCGUGCCAAGCCCGGUGACGAGCCACGGCAGUGAUUGUUGUUAAUGCCGUCAUAAAACUCAUUAAUGUUACGAUUUGUGUAUGUAAUUAUGCACUGUUGUGGGCCAUUACGGGUUGUUAGACAAACAACCGCACACUUUUGUUAUACACUAAUAGCUCACGGGUCGCUGUGCGUGGAUGUCAACCGGCAGCGUCCGAUUCGGCAGGCGAAACCUGGAGCCACUUCACCCUGCUGGGUCUCAUCAGCUGAGCCGAACUUGAUAGACAAAUGCACGCCUGGGUUGCCAGAUAUGAUUGGCAGUAGUCCUUCAGACAUUGCUGUUUACAGAUCAAUCAGACACGAGGACUCUUUAUCCAAGCGCCAUGCAAAGUCAAUAACAGAAGCGCCUCUACGUGUGAUCGUGGUGUAAGGUUUAUUAACGCUUGUCCGGUUCGGUGGUGAUGUGCCAAGACUGACUC